rnacentral:lncRNA from 1 species
GGGGGGGGGGGGGGGGCUUCUCCAUGUUCGCUAAUUAAAUGAUGUAAUAAGCUGGACAGUGGUGCCACACGCCUUUAACCCCAGCACUCAGAGGGCAGAAGCAGGAGGAUCUCUGGGAUGAGGCCAGCCUAGUCUACAGAAUGAGCUCUAGGACAGACAAAAAGGCUACACAGAAAAACUGUCUCCAACCUACCCCUCAAUACCCCAAAAAAGUAAUAAAUUUAGUUAGAAUUUUUAAAAACAUUUACUUAUUUUAUACAUGUAAGUACACUGUAGCUGUUUUCAGACACACCAGAAGAGAGCAUCAGAUCCCAUCACAGAUGGUUGUGAGCCACUAUGUGGUUGCUGGGAUUUGAACUCAGGACCCCUGGAAGAGCAGACAGUGCUCUUAACCACUGAGCCAUCUCUCCAGCCUCUAAUUAGAAUUUUUUAAGCUACAUUUUUUUUCAAGGUGGAAAUGGCAGUUUAUUUUACAUCUACUCAGAGCCCCAUCAUUCAUUCUUUCUUUCCUUCCUUCCUUCCUUCCUUCCUUCCUUCCUUCCUUCUGCUUAGGAUUCCUUUGAAAGGUUAGAGAACACUAACCCUAACAUGCCGUGUGUUUCACUAAGACAAUGCAACCCUG